rnacentral:rRNA from 1 species
AACGAACGCUGGCGGCAGGCUUAACACAUGCAAGUCGAGCGCCCCGCGAGGGGAGCGGCAGCCGGGUGAGUAACGCGUGGGAACGUACCUUUUGGUUCGGAACAACUCCGGGAAACUGGAGCUAAUACCGGAUAAGCCCUAACGGGGAAAGAUUUAUCGCCGAAAGAUCGGCCCGCGUCUGAUUAGCUAGUUGGUGAGGUAACGGCUCACCAAGGCGACGAUCAGUAGCUGGUCUGAGAGGAUGAUCAGCCACACUGGGACUGAGACACGGCCCAGACUCCUACGGGAGGCAGCAGUGGGGAAUAUUGGACAAUGGGCGCAAGCCUGAUCCAGCCAUGCCGCGUGAGUGAUGAAGGCCUUAGGGUUGUAAAGCUCUUUUGUCCGGGAAGAUAAUGACUGUACCGGAAGAAUAAGCCCCGGCUAACUUCGUG